rnacentral:rRNA from 1 species
AACGAACGCUGGCGGCAGGCCUAACACAUGCAAGUCGAGCGGACCCUUCGGGGUUAGCGGCGGACGGGUGAGUAACGCGUGGGAACGUGCCCUUUGCUUCGGAAUAGCCCUGGGAAACUGGGAGUAAUACCGGAUACGCCCUUUUGGGGAAAGAUUUAUCGGCGAAGGAUCGGCCCGCGUUGGAUUAGGUAGUUGGUGGGGUAAUGGCCUACCAAGCCGACGAUCCAUAGCUGGUUUGAGAGGAUGAUCAGCCACACUGGGACUGAGACACGGCCCAGACUCCUACGGGAGGCAGCAGUGGGGAAUCUUAGACAAUGGGGGAAACCCUGAUCUAGCCAGGCCGCGUGAGCGAUGAAGGCCUUAGGGUUGUAAAGCUCUUUCACCGGGGAGGUAAUGACGGUACCCGGAGAAGAAGCCCCGGCUAACUCCGUG